rnacentral:rRNA from 1 species
UACGUAGGAGGCAAGCGUUGUCCGGAUUUAUUGGGCGUAAAGAGCGUGUAGGCGGCUUCACAGGUCCGCUGUGAAAACUCGAGGCUCAACCUCGAGCUGUCGGUGGAAACCGUGUGGCUAGAGUCCGGAAGAGGAGAGUGGAAUUCCCGGUGUAGCGGUGAAAUGCGCAGAUAUCGGGAAGAACACCCGUGGCGAAGGCGGCUCUCUGGGACGGUACUGACGCUGAGACGAGAAAGCGUGGGGAGCGAACAGG